GGUCCAGACUUUGAUAUGGCUCAGGAUGAACGCUAGCUACAGGCUUAACACAUGCAAGUCGAGGGGCAGCGGGAUUGAAGCUUGCUUCAAUUGCCGGCGACCGGCGCACGGGUGAGUAACGCGUAUCCAACCUUCCGUACACUCAGGGAUAGCCUUUCGAAAGAAAGAUUAAUACCUGAUGGUAUGAUGAGAUUGCAUGAUAGCAUCAUUAAAGAUUUAUCGGUGUACGAUGGGGAUGCGUUCCAUUAGGUAGUAGGCGGGGUAACGGCCCACCUAGCCAACGAUGGAUAGGGGUUCUGAGAGGAAGGUCCCCCACAUUGGAACUGAGACACGGUCCAAACUCCUACGGGAGGCAGCAGUGAGGAAUAUUGGUCAAUGGACGAGAGUCUGAACCAGCCAAGUAGCGUGAAGGAUGAAGGUCCUACGGAUUGUAAACUUCUUUUAUAAGGGAAUAAACCCUCCCACGUGUGGGAGCUUGUAUGUACCUUAUGAAUAAGCAUCGGCUAACUCCGUGCCAGCAGCCGCGGUAAUACGGAGGAUGCGAGCGUUAUCCGGAUUUAUUGGGUUUAAAGGGAGCGCAGACGGGUCGUUAAGUCAGCUGUGAAAGUUUGGGGCUCAACCUUAAAAUUGCAGUUGAUACUGGCGUCCUUGAGUGCGGU
rnacentral:rRNA from 1 species